CCAUUUUAGGUAAAUUUGUCCCUGAGAUCAGUGUAUGUGAAAUCUCAAGUAAAGCCUUAAACAUGUGCUUGAGACACUGGUGUUUCACAGACUUCAAAGGCAACAGAUGUGACAAUCCAGGGUGAAUGAGGAUGGCUCAAGUGGGCUAGAGCUGUGUAUUCCCCCUCUCCUAUGUGGAAGGCUACAGCUGACUAGAGUUGGGUAUUUCCCUUCUCCCAGGUGAGCUAGGCUCUGCUAAUAUCGCAGCCAGUUAGACUCCGGUUAAUUAAUUUCUCCUGAGCGCUGGCCUUGUUAAGUAGAACAGCCUGCUCUCUGGCGUAUUUCAAAAUGGUUCCUCUUCCCUUCCUGCUGCUGACAGCACAAGGGGAUUUUUCUCUGACACUUACUGUGAGAAUCCAGUUGAGCUCCUGGAGGUAAAACUCACUAGAGUGUGGGAGCCCCACUAUGACUGGGCUCCCCUGGAGUUUUUAACCGUCAGGAUUGUCCACACUGAGCCUCCAGCAAUUAGACAAUUCCAGUUCAGGUUUUCCUGCUCCGGCACUGGUUCCCUUGCCAGUUUCUGCCCGCCAGACUCUGCUCAGAAACACAGACAAGAACUACGGAGGAGGGACUUUCCUGGUGGCACAGUGGUUAAGAAUCCGCCAGCCAAUGCAGGGUACACGGGUUUGAGCCCUGGUCCGGAAAGAUCCCACAUGCCGUGGAGCAACUAAGCCCGUGUGCCACAACUACUGAGCCUGCAUUCUAGAGCCCGUGAGCGACAGCUACUGAGCCCUCAUGCUUCAACUACUGAAGCCCGUGUGCCUAGAGUCUGUGCUCCACAACAAGAGAAGCCACUGCAAUGAGAAGCCCGCUCAUCACAAUGAAGAGCAGCCCCCACUCGCCGCAUCUAGAGAAAGCCUGCACACAGCAACAAAGACUGGACACGGCCAAAAAUUUUUAAAAAUUAAUUAAAAAAAUGAUUCUGGUUCAAAAGAAAAAUGCAUAUACAAAGCUUAAAAAGAAAAUGACGAAGGAGCUGUUUUCCAAACCUCAUGCACAGAGAAGAGAAUCUGUAUGAAGCAAGGGAUGGAUGGGAGGUGUCUUGCUUACAUCUCUAUUCAAGGAAGACUUCUGCAGGAAGGAUAGCUGGUUGACAGCCUCCAGCUUCCCCAAGAUUGGCCAAUGUGUUCUUGCCAGACUGCUUCCCCAGUGACUAAGCACUAUGACGUACUAGAAUCACUAUAUUCCUGCCCACCCCUAGAUUCCUAGAAUCCCUGUAAUGGUAGACUUUGCUUAGGGAGUCUGAUUACCUAGUCAGUUAGCUAGCAUCCUCUCUCUCUCUUUCAGAUAUAUAUAUAAUCGCUAUUGGGAUCAUGGGUAAAUUUUUGUUUCUUUCACCCUGCUUUGCUUAUGUGUAUAUUAUUUUUUUUUCUGCAAAUACAUGUGCUACUUCAAGGACUUAUAAUAUUGUUGGAAAUCAUCAAGAAUAACACAUUUUGUGAUCUGUUUGAAAGGAAUAAAUGAUUUCACCCACCUACAUUUACUGACUACUCAUGAAAUGCAAAGCUUCACCUUACUUUACCCUAUCAUCAGAAAAAUGAUUCCAGUUUUCGUACAAAAGGAUACUUCCAAGUAUCCUUUCUGCAAGAUUGUAGAAAAGCAACCUCAUGUAUAUUACAUGAUAGCUUUUACAUGAAUUACUGCUGCUGCAAAUCAGUGGGCAGUGUAUGUGGACAAAUACUCAAUGUUUUCAUGUUUUUUUAAGUAUAGGUUGCACUUUUGCAUUUCAUGGUGCCUUUUAGAAUUAACUAUAUCUUUUUUUUCUUUAAUGUCGUGAACUAUGUUUUGAAAUAUUCAAACACAUGAGAAAAAGGCUUAUUGAAGUAAAUAUUCUGCAAUUAGUAUUUCUCAUGCCACUUAUACCAUGAUUACAUGAAAUGUAAAAUCACUGCUUUUGAGUAUUAGGAAAAAAAUAGAAGGAAUCAUAAUUAUGGGCAAGUUUUAUUAGGAAAUGUUUAGGUUAACUCUGAAAUUCAAGUAUAAAUAAGAUUUUUUUAAAUCUCAGUUUAUAGUUAUCACAAGUAUGUGUGAUAAGUUAAGUUUUGCUAACCAGUAAAUUGGGGUGGUCCUUGAAUCUUCCUUUGGCAGUUCCUCCCCUUCAUUUCAAAUCAAUCAGAAAGUCUUACAGACUCUACGUCCUAAACCUUUCUUGAAGCCCUCUCCUCCACCCUAUUUCUGCUGGCAUUGGGCUCAUGCUCAUUUUUUCUUCAUUUGAGUGCUCACAUUCUGGCCUCCCUUCUGACUCUCCACAUUGUUGCCAGUGUGAUUGUUCUGAAAUGGAAAUAUGGUCAUUCCUCUGCAAUUCACAUCUGUCAUUGAGUUCCCAGAGCCUAGCUUGAAGUCAAAUACUUGUUGGCAAUAUAUUUGAGAACUUUUUUGAUCUUACUCCUGCUUGCUUCUCAGACUCAUCCCUGUCUGCCUACAAAACCUCUCUGCUCUGGCUCUGAACUCCCUGUCAUCAUUCAAAAGUUCCAUGAGUUUUCACAGCCCUGCAAGUUGCAUCUUCCGUUGCCACUGCCUGGAAUAUAUUCCCCUCAGCCCAAUCCUGAAAAAUAGAACUCAUUUCUCUUUUUUCGCCUAUAUUUUUUCUUCAGUUCAUGAUUAACAUUGUCAUUUUAAAAAACCUCAAUGCAAAGAAUUUAAUUUGCACACCAUAAAAUAAUUUAAUAUUUCUGUAUAAAAUAUUCUUUUAUUUCCCAUUUCAGAAUAACUAAACCAUAAUAUCACAUGACAGUUUUUCUCAGCUGAUUUCACCGAUUUUCCCCCAGCAGAUAAACAACUUACCUUGAGUUAAGCACUUCCUCCUCUGCCCUUUGUUGCAUGCCGAAUAAAGCUCUGAUAAACAUCUUCAGGUAUUGCAUGUGGCAAACAUUCUAACAUGUCCAGGAAAUUCUUAAAGCCAGAGACUCUCUUUGUUCGUUUCCAUUCCCUAAAUGUCUUGGAUACUUGCUACAUGGCAAGUACUCAUGUAAUAUUUGUUUAGAGAAUGAACGAUAGCAAAUAAUUGAGAAUAAAACUUGAUUUUUUAGUGUUAUUUUGAAAUUUUUUUAUCAAAAUGAGAGAACAUAACUAUUCAGUUAUACAUUUAUCCUUGGUCAUGUUCUUGCUUAAAUCGUGUAACUAUUAACAUACAGUUCACUCCAACAGCAUUUUUAUGUUCCUACGUAUUAGGUAUUUUGUUGUUUGCUUGGGAAACUCAGAUAAAUACAACACUGACUCUUUAUUCAAUGUUUUCUUAUUAUAAGUGAGUGAUGAAAUAAUAGUUGGUACUAUUCACUGUACUCUGUGCCACCUACUAUUUAAUCACCUAAUAAGAUACUUCGAGGUGAAAUUUAAUCAUCAGCAGUCUUAUUUUGUAUAUGUGUGUAAAAUAAUUUAAAUGCAUUCAAAAUAUGCAUUGUGUUGUGGCAAUAUAGGUAAAUUUAUGUAUAAAAAGCAUUGGAUAUAAUGGUUAUUCAAUUAAUAUUUUGGAUUGGUUGAAUAUAUCACUAAUAUGAAUGAGUAAUUCAUACUAAUAUAAUCCUUUCAUUUCAGCUGAGCUCUCUAUAUUUUCUUCUGUUUUGAAGAGAAUGGCACUUCAGUAUAAUCACAAAAAGAGUGAAUAGAUGGGAUUGCAUAGUCUCAAUCAACCUACUUUUUCCAUGCAAAAAAUUUAAAAACACAUAAUUAUAAAUUUCCUAUAUUUCACAGUAAACAUUAUUGUUCAAAUCUUAGAGUUACAACAAUAUAAAAUGUUAGUAAAAUCAAUGUUUUGUUGAAAUUAUAGUAAUUCAUGUAAGAUUUUUUAGAAACUGACACUAGUGAAAACUCUGAAGUAGUGUAGUUUUUUGGCAUUUAUUUUUCAAACUUCCAAUUGGAAACUCAAUCACAAAGGACCAUCCACAGAGCCACACACUAUCUACCCUGAUUGCAUCUCAUGAUCCUUACUUCCCUGCCUCCACUAAAACACUGAGUUCUGAGUAGUAAUUUUUCAGGGUUUUGAUCUCUGAUCUGUGCCUUAUAAUUUGAUGAAAGUAAUUUUUGAAAGGUUAAUAUGUCAGGACAUUUUUUGCAAAUGUCCUAAACAGGUUCUCUUGUAUUACUAUGAUUAUUAGUUUCAUAAUGCUGCCAUAACAAAUUGCCACAAAUUCAGAGACUUAACACAGGCAUUAUCUCACAGUGCCUUCACAGUCUGAAGUCUAGCUUCCUUGGGUCUCAGAAGGCUAAAAUCAAGGUGUCUACAUGGCUGUGUUCCUUUCUUGAUGCUUUAAGGCAGAAUCCACAUCCUGGCUUGUAUGAGUGAUUGGUAGGAUUCACUUCCUUGUGGUUGUAGGGCUAAGGCCCCUGUUUUCUUGCUGGUAUUGCCGGUUGGCUAGACAUCAGGGAUCUUUCUCAGCUUCUAGAGGCUGCUAGCCUUCCUUGACUCCUGGCCCCAUUCCUCUAUCUUCAAACUAACAAGAGUGGGUCAAGUCCCUUUCAUGCCUCAAGUCACUCAAGCUUCAUCUCUUUGACUGAUGAUUCUGUCUUCCUCUUUAGCUUUUAAGGGCUCAUAUGAUUACAUUAGGUCCACUCAGGUAAUCCAGGAUAACCUUCCUAAUAUAAAGGAAUUGAUUAGUAACCUUAAUUCCAUGUGAAAGACUCUUCUCAGCAGUACCUGUAUCAGUGCUUUACUGAACAGCUAGGAAACAAAAAAUCUUGGGGAGAUAUUUUUACAAUUCUGUCAACCACUUCAUGUAAUGAUUUUUUUUUCUUCUGGAAAGCAUAUUGAAUAAGUUAACUAAGUAAAUAGUGAGAACUUUUUUAGCACUUUAUCCUAUGAUGGUUUUCUUUUUCAAAGAAAGAGUACAAACAAGGGAGAAAAACAUAAAAGAACAUUCUUCAUUCUGAGUCUCUCUCUCUCUCUCUCUCUCAUUCUCUCUCAUCCUCCUCUUCUCUCUUAGUUGUUUUGUUGCUGUUAUAAGUUUUUCUUAAACAUGCAGCUUCUGACCAAUGCCAUUGAAGGCCCAGGUACAUUCUAUCUUCCUGCUUCGCCAUUUUUAGCAUGUGGAUUCCAUUCUCCCAUUCAUAGUAUGGUUGAUAAUCUUCUAACAACCUGCCAUUAUUCCAAGCAUAAAGAAGAAGGGUGGAAAAAACAUAAAGUGCCUAAGGGCAAAAGCAUAACUGCCUGCCUAUGGAGCCUCACCAUUCUUCAAAACAUUCCCCAAAGCUCAACUCAGUGACUUGUUUCCAUCUAAUUGUUGGAACCAUGCUACAUUGCUUUCCUUAGAUGAAAGAAGACUAGGAAAACAGUGGGGCUGAAUAGAUUGGGUUGAUGAACACCAUUGUAUCUGACACACUAUCAUCAGACAGAGGAUAGUAUGGUUUAUAUUUGAAUAUUUCUUGUCUAACAUUGAACAGAGAAAAUAAGGAAAUUUGUGCUCAUCUGACCGAACUGUGCCUUGGUGUCCUGAAAUUAAUUUUAUGUGGAUUGAAGAAAUCAAUAAUCACUAAAUUUCAGAAUGGAAUUUCAAUUUUCAUUUAGUAAAUCCUAAACCAUAUGUAAUAUUUGUUUAAAUUGUUAAUCUUUCUCAAAAAAUAUUGAAGUUUUUAAUGUUAACUUUAUGGGAUUAAGCCAAAGACAUCAAGAGUGUUAGAAAUUCCAUGCCCUAUAUAUUGUGAAGUGUGGAAUGGUAUGAAUAUAUGAUCUUUUGUCUUAUCACAAAUUAUAAUAAGCUUUUAACUUGACUAUCUGUUAAGUUCUGUAGCUUUUCUAAAAUUAGGAUUAAGUUAAAUUUGAGCUCAUAUAUUCUAAUCCAUGUAAAAUUUACAUAUCUGAUUUUGUGACUUUUUGUGACUAUCCUUCAAAUCAGCAUUUAUAUAGCAGAGCCUAUCUACCAGAAACAACAAAAUUUAAGGCAUGUUAUUUUGUACUUUCAGUGAUCUUAGUCCUUGCACUUAAAAAAACUCCCUAUCAAUAUACGUUAAUGGGAAGACUUUGUAAUGUAACAAAAAAAUCAACAAUGUGUUUUUACUUCACUGUUUGUUCUCUUGUCUGGGUGGCAUAGUGUAGAUGAUGGGUAAUAAAAAAAAUGAGAUUCAAAGCAAUUAUUUUCCAAACUGCUGGCAUUGAAAAAAUUGUAGUCAUUUGGAAACAUUUAGGGCUCUGAACCAAAUGAGCUUACUAUUAUAUAAAAUGCAAGAAUCAAAAUACAUAACAGUAAUCCCUGAAUGUCAAGGGCAAAUCACUUAGCUAUAAUAAUUUUAAGUCCUUGAGCAUUUAUUAUAAAGCAUACUGACAAUGUGAAUAUACACCUGGCUAUAUAUCUCCCAAUAACACAUUGAUUUUCAGCUAUUUCAAUAAUGGUAUAGAUCUCAGCAUAGGACUGUUCUAUGAUAGAAGCAAUCAUUCUAAGUAAGGUAUGUAUUUAAGGUUAUGUCAAGUUGUGAGAAACUUACUAAGUACUUCUGUUUAAAAAUUUCCCUGUUUAAUAUGUUAAAACUUUGUUUACAAUA